CAACAUAGCCAUGAUUUUUUAUUUUUUUCCAUAAGGGAAGCUGCUCACAAAGGCAACAGCGUCUCAGUGCUGCUGAAGUUAUAAUGUGGCCCUGAAAGAAGGAACUUACUAACGAAGUUUCAUGUCUUAUGAAAUGCCAAGGCUGAGGACCUAGACGAUGUCAGAGGUUUAUGGACUGCGAUGAGAUUUUCCUGGGCUAAGAAGCAGAAGCCAAGGAUGGAGUAAAAAAGAUGUGUUUGGUGUGGAGUCCUCAAAAGCUGCUGUCACACCCGCUCUCUGGAACGGUGCACAGCUGAGCAAGGCCAGGAAUGAAUACAGAAGAGCUGAUGGUUAAAAAGAGCCUGACACCUCCCACCAUCCCCUCUUGCCUCUUCUCUCAUUGUGUGAUCUGCACGCUGGCUCCUCUUCACCUUGCACCAUGAGUGGAAGCUUCCUGAAGCUCUCAACAGAAGUAGAUGCCAGUGCCAUGCCCCUCGUACAGCUUACAGAACUGACGAUAACAAACAAUCUAACAAUGGAGUCAUUGAAGUCCUACAAGAAAAAAAAAGUGGAGCGAAGAAAAUAUUUGAAGAGAUAAUGAUUAAAAAUUUCCCAAAUUGAGCCAAAGAUUUGAAAAUUACAGAUGUAAAAGCCCAGCAAACACCAAACUGGAUGAACUCAAAUAGUUCCACAUCUAGACCCAUCAUAAAAAAAAAAAAAAAACUAUUGAAAAAUAAACACAGAGGAAAUGGUCCUAAAAGCAGCCAGAGAAAAGUAACGCAUUAAUAUUUCGUUUGUAUGACAUUGGAUUUCACAACAAAAAUCAGGAAGGCCAGAGGGAAGAGGAACCGUGUUUGUUAAAUGUGUUGAAAGAAAAAAACUGCCAAUGCAGAACCUAUGUGCAGUAAAAAUAUUCCUCAGGAAUGAAAUUGAAUGUAGAGACUGUCAGACGAAGGAAAAUUACCAAAAUGUAUUGCCAGGAUCCUGCCGUAAAAGAAGUACUAAUGUCAGAGGCUAGGGAUUCGGCAGGACGGAAGUGGGUAGGAUUAUAAAAGGACAACAUAGGAAACCCUCGUGCUGUGGCACCGUUUUGUAUCCUGACUCUGUGCCCGCAUGAACCUAUAAAGACAGUAAACUUACAC
rnacentral:lncRNA from 1 species